rnacentral:rRNA from 1 species
UACGUAGGGUGCGAGCGUUGUCCGGAAUUAUUGGGCGUAAAGGGCUCGUAGGCGGUCUGUCACGUCGGGAGUGAAAACUCAGGGCUUAACCCUGAGCCUGCUUCCGAUACGGGCAGACUAGAGGUAUGCAGGGGAGAAUGGAAUUCCUGGUGUAGCGGUGAAAUGCGCAGAUAUCAGGAGGAACACCGGUGGCGAAGGCGGUUCUCUGGGCAUUACCUGACGCUGAGGAGCGAAAGUGUGGGGGGCGAACAGG